AUUAAGUUUAGAAUGAUUAAAGAAAGAGAGAGAGAGAAAGAGAAGAGAUACUGAGUGUUUUAGGAAGCCACCAACCAGAAUUGAGCAAGUUCUCAGCUUCCCGUCUGUGGACAGGUGUGGAGGAAAUAUAUCAGGAUGAUCACUGAAUAGUGAAGGGAACAUUUCAUCAUACUGAAGAUGCAAAUGUUGCAACAAUUGAAAGAAUAAAUGAGAAGUAUGCAACACAGAUAAUAAAAUAACGAGGUAAAAUUUCAUACGCACUCUCUUCCUCUGCCGCUCUGGCUCUCUUCUUCGUACACACUCUCCCUCUUUUGUUGCUCACAGACCGUAAAACAUGCAGCAGACUGUACUGAGAACUUGCCAGCGUAAGUAAGAGAGCCAGUAUUCUCAUGUU
rnacentral:lncRNA from 1 species